rnacentral:rRNA from 1 species
CGGCGAACGGGUGAGUAACACGUGGGUGAUCUGCCUUGCACUCUGGGAUAAGCCUGGGAAACUGGGUCUAAUACCGGAUAUGAGCCUGGACUGCAUGGUCUGGGUUGGAAAGGUUUACUGGUGCGAGAUGGGCCCGCGGCCUAUCAGCUUGUUGGUGGGGUAACGGCCUACCAAGGCGACGACGGGUAGCCGACCUGAGAGGGUGACCGGCCACACUGGGACUGAGACACGGCCCAGACUCCUACGGGAGGCAGCAGUGGGGAAUAUUGCACAAUGGGCGAAAGCCUGAUGCAGCGACGCCGCGUGAGGGAUGACGGCCUUCGGGUUGUAAACCUCUUUUGACAGGGACGAAGCGCAAGUGACGGUACCUGUAGAAGAAGCACCGGCCAACUACGUGCCAGCAGCCGCGGUAAUACGUAGGGUGCGAGCGUUGUCCGGAAUUACUGGGCGUAAAGAGCUUGUAGGCGGUCUGUCACGUCGAUUGUGAAAACUUGCAGCUCAACUGCAAGCUUGCAGUCGAUACGGGCAGACUAGAGUACUUCAGGGGAGACUGGAAUUCCUGGUGUAGCGGUGAAAUGCGCAGAUAUCAGGAGGAACACCGGUGGCGAAGGCGGGUCUCUGGGAAGUAACUGACGCUGAGA